rnacentral:miRNA from 1 species
GUCGUGAGGGAGGAGGGGUGGGUGUGACCAGUGUCUUGUCACAGUGGCCACCUUGCUCCUCUCCCG